rnacentral:rRNA from 1 species
UAGGGAAUAUUGCGCAAUGGGGGAAACCCUGACGCAGCAACGCCGCGUGAGUGAAGAAGGUCUUUGGAUCGUAAAGCUCUUUCGGCCGGGAAGAAGGGCUCUGCAGUGAACAAUUGCAGGGUUUGACGGUACCGGAAGAAGAAGCACCUGCUAACUACGUGCCAGCAGCAGCGGUAAUACGUAGGGUGCGAGCGUUGUUCGGAAUCACUGGGCGUAAAGAGCACGUAGGCGGGCCUGUAGGUCAGCUGUGAAAUCCCCGGGCUCAACCUGGGAACGGCAGUUGAAACGGCAGGUCUUGAAUGUCCAAGAGGAUGGGGGAAUUCCUGGUGUAGUAGUGAAAUACGUAGAUAUCAGGAGGAACACCUGAGGCGAAGGCGCCUGUCUGGUGGCACAUUGACGC